CCACACACGAUCCAAGAUCGACACUUUUUGUGAACUGUUAAACAAAGUUAAAGUUUUGUUUUGGUCGAGAAACAAGUAGUGCAAACUACUGACAUAUCUGCCGAAGCAACAACUUUAAUUUAUAUAUACAAACACCAAAAAACGAAAAUGAAUUAUACAUUGGAACUUAAAUGUUAUCAUAGAGUUCGUCUCUAUAUAACGCUAGAUAUAAUUGUAAAAA
rnacentral:misc_RNA from 1 species